rnacentral:lncRNA from 1 species
AUAAGUUAUAAUAUUAUAACACCGUAUAUCUAUAUAGAACACGCCAUUGAUGGUUAACAGAUUACUCAUCUACAAUCUCUAUACUAGAAUAAUGAAUAAAUGCUAUUCAAUCCAUUAUUUUUUUAAUAAAACACUUUAUUGAUGGUUAACCUUUCAACAUAUUUUACUUUUGCAUGUAUACAUGCAUGUUGUAGUUUAGGCACUUAUAAGUCAAACACGCCAUACACAUAAUCUUUUCUUAUUUAUUUAUGUUUAACUUUGAUGGUCAAACCACCACUUCACCGGUGGCUUUCUGGUCCCACUGCGGCAAACUCCGGCUGAAAUACGACGCCACCACCCUUGAGUCCAGCAACUCCAUUAUCGGAGUAUAGCUAACGCACCUUGGCACUUUAUACUGGUUAAUUGAUGCCCCUCUUGACAAUGCAUGAUCCAUCAAACAUUCAAAUGUACCAUUUUUCACCACCCGAAGCUCCAAUGGCCCGAUCGAUUUGCACUCAACCCGACCCUGUCGGUACACUGAGUUCAGAGAUUCCUCCAUCACCAAACAACACUGCUCAAGCACCUCAUCUGUUGGAUAGUUUGUUGGAUCCUUCACUAACAAUUCCCAGAAUAUAACGUAAUGCCCGGGUAUGCUUCGGGUAUCCGCAUAGCUUGUGUACUCAACCACAUUUGUGUUGAACCGGUUCAACAGUUUGGAUGCAUUGUCGAUGGCGGAUUGGAGUUCGGGUUCAGUUGUUUUGUCUGAAUCGAUGCUUAGCAGCACGCCUUUCCGCCUCACGAAGUGAAACUUUGGGGCGGAGUUGUGGAACCCUGUGACACGAAGAAUGUCACCUACGCGGUAUCUGUAUAACGCGUAGGUAGUGAUCACAAGCUCAUACUCCUUCCCUAUUUCCACAUUCACAAGGUCGACUAGAGAAACAUUAUUACUGGUCGACCCUGAAUGUGGAUCACAGGGAAGGAACUCGAAGUAUGCCAUAUUUGGCAUUAUGGUGUACGAAACUUCAGACGGUUCGCACAACGGGUUCAGGUUGAUACCAAAAUAACACUCGGACGACGCGUACAUGGUGCACACUUUCGGUAACCCACCGCUAUAAUAAUCAAGGGUGGGAAUAUAUUGGGCCAUUGCACCCGUUACGAUUACUUCAAGAUACUUGGCAUUAGGCCAGAUUCGGGUGAUGAUCCCUUCCCAGUUCUCCUUUGAGCAUUCGGAUUCUAUUACGUUUGCAAGAGCGUGGUCCGGCCUCAGUAUCCGGACCAUGCAUUGCUGGAUAUCCGGAUCAGAUACCCUCUUAUCAAGGGUACCUGUCCGGAUAUCCUGACAAAGUUCCUUCCAAUAAAGCUGAAGGAACCGAAUGGCUCGAAGAAGACCAGAAGCAAAGAUGGCUCCGAUACGGAGUACUUGCUCCCGAUCAUACAAUCCACAAAGCAUCUGAGCGUACAUGCUCUGGAACGAGUCCGGACAGAGAACGGCCUCAUUCGGGCUUGUGUAGACGUUAUACGGGUCGUAUGGUCGGGCCUUGAAGCGGUCACUCUUGUAGUAGCUUGUGAGAACGGGUCGGGCCAACAGCCCACCCGGAGUUUUUGUUUCGGAUUUAACGAACAGAAAAUACAAGCCUUUUCCCUUAUCCAGACCCGGCAUGUACAUGUUCAUUACCGGCAUCAGAAGACUGUAAAGCAGUUGACGUCGAUCCAAAUCUUCAUUAAUCGCCGGCAUGAGUUUUCUUUCACCAGCGGAAGUCCCAGAACUAACUGGAGAACGAUCGCCAUUAGCGAUGCGUUGAAUAAAAGGCUCAAGAUCUUCGUAAGUAACAACCGGUAUUUUGGAUUUGAAAGUUUCACGAUCCGUAGCUCCGGCGAGAUUGUACAGCUGGAGAUACUCCGUUUCGGCGUUCCGCCGUAGUAUCUCCGCCAACACGUUGGUCUGAACCGCGUCGGCGUUGGCCGUCACAUCAUCAAUGAACUGAAUUACCGCCGCAUCAUUCUCGAACGCCGGCAAACACUUGUGAGCCAUUUUGUUUUGUUAACAAAGGUUUGUAUGUUUU